rnacentral:rRNA from 1 species
AACGUAGGAGACAAACGUUAUCCGGAGUUACUGGGCGUAAAGGGCGUGUAGGUGGUUUCGUAAGUCUGGCGUGAAAUUUCUCGGCUUAACCGAGGCAGGUCGUCGGAUACUGCGGAACUAGAGGACGGUAGAGGCGUGUGGAAUUCCGGGUGUAGUGGUGAAAUGCGUAGAGAUCCGGAGGAACACCAGUGGCGAAGGCGACACGCUGGGCCGUACCUGACGCUGAGGCGCGAUAGCAUGGGGAGCAAACAGG